UGUUGACCAACCAAAUAAUGAAGGGAAAACAGCAUUGGACCUUGCCGUUAAAGCAGGACGUGAAGAGAUUGUCAAAUUAUUAAUAGAUGGAGGGGCACAAAGAUUGGCAAAUGGUGAAAUGGGUGACAUUACUGCUAAUUUAAGAAGUAUGAAAGCUCCCGCCAAUCUUAUCUGGAAAAACAAUGGAAUUGCAGCGUAUAGCAAUAUUGCUUUACUCUUUACUUCAGUAUUUUGUUCAUUCGUCCUUCAAUUUUAAUGAAGUUGAUUUUCAGAGAGCGGUUCAAGAAAAGCGGAUUGGAAAUAGAGAUUUAAAAAAAAAUCCUCAGCAGAUGGACUGUUGAUUUAGUUUAAAAAAAGAAAAUAUAUAAAUAUUGUCAAUCAAUUGUAUUAUUUUUA